rnacentral:rRNA from 1 species
UUAGCCUACGGGAGGCAGCAGUGGGGAAUAUUGCACAAUGGGGGGAACCCUGAUGCAGCGACGCCGCGUGGGUGAAGGAGUACUUCGGUACGUAAAGCCCUAUCAGCAGGGAAGAAAGAAAUGACGGUACCUGACUAAGAAGCCCCGGCUAACUACGUGCCAGCAGCCGCGGUAAUACGUAGGGGGCAAGCGUUAUCCGGAUUUACUGGGUGUAAAGGGAGCGUAGACGGCUAUGCAAGUCUGGAGUGAAAGGCGGGGGCCCAACCCCCGG